CAUGUACUCCCUCCGUCCCAUAUUAAUUGACGCUCAAAUGGAUGUAUCUAGCACUAUAUUAAUUGAUGCUCAAACGGAUGUAUCUAGCACUGAAAUAGUGCUAGAUACAUCCAUUUGAGCGUCACUUAAUACGGGACGGAGGGAGUAGAAU
rfam:Triticum aestivum genome assembly, contig: Triticum_aestivum_CS42_TGACv1_scaffold_342586_4DL